UUCCUACGGGGGGCAGCAGUGGGGAAUAUUGCACAAUGGGCGAAAGCCUGAUGCAGCAACGCCGCGUGCGGGAAGAAGGCCCUAGGGUUGUAAACCGCUUUCAGCAGGGAAGAAAAUGACGGUACCUGCAGAAGAAGGUGCGGCCAACUACGUGCCAGCAGCCGCGGUGACACGUAGGCACCAAGCGUUGUCCGGAUUUAUUGGGCGUAAAGAGCUCGUAGGCGGUUCAGUAAGUCGGGUGUGAAAACUCUGGGCUCAACCCAGAGACGCCACCCGAUACUGCUGUGACUUGAGUACGGUAGGGGAGCGGGGAAUUCCUGGUGUAGCGGUGAAAUGCGCAGAUAUCAGGAGGAACACCAGUGGCGAAGGCGCCGCUCUGGGCCGAAACUGACGCUGAGGAGCGAAAGCGUGGGUAGCAAACAGGAUUAGAUACCCGAGUAGUCAU
rnacentral:rRNA from 1 species